GAUGGACGCUGGCGGCGUGCCUAAUACAUGCAAGUCGAGCGAACAGACGAGGAGCUUGCUCCUCUGACGUUAGCGGCGGACGGGUGAGUAACACGUGGAUAACCUACCUAUAAGACUGGGAUAACUUCGGGAAACCGGAGCUAAUACCGGAUAAUAUAUUGAACCGCAUGGUUCAAUAGUGAAAGACGGUUUUGCUGUCACUUAUAGAUGGAUCCGCGCCGCGUUAGCUAGUUGGUAAGGUAACAGCUUACCAAGGCAACGAUGCGUAGCCGACCUGAGAGGGUGAUCGGCCACACUGGAACUGAGACACGGUCCAGACUCCUACGGGAGGCAGCAGUCGGGAAUCUUCCGCAAUGGGCGAAAGCCUGACGGAGCAACGCCGCGUGAGUGAUGAAGGUCUUCGGAUCGUAAAACUCUGUUAUUAGGGAAGAACAAAUGUGUAAGUAACUAUGCACGUCUUGACGGUACCUAAUCAGAAAGCCACGGCUAACUACGUG
rnacentral:rRNA from 1 species